UUGCAAUUAUUGAAAAUCAUUUUAAAACCCCGUGUCACUUAAAGUCAAUAUGGAAUAUGUGAUGGUAGAGUAUGAGUUUCUUAUUCUUGAUAUCAUUGUUGCUUGGAGAAUUUAUUUCAAAAUAAAUCCUAGCUACCAUCCUCAGUGUUUUAUGCCUGAUAAGACUGAAAAUAUUAAUUAUGAUUAUAAAAGCUAUCUACUCUGUAUUGAGUUUGUUCAAAAUGAGUUAGACCCUUGUAGAGAGAUUUAUCAUGCUCCUAAGAUCAAGACAUUAUUUCAGAAAGAUUCACUCUUCCGAAGUAUUAUUGCAUUAGAGGCAUGGGCUAUGUAAAAAUAAAAAUAUUUCAAGGAAAUAAAAAGGAGCAAGUGCUCGACAACCUUGCAGAAAAAUGGACAAGUGUCCGGCAGUAGAAUUAGGGGUACCUCGGUAUCCACUUAAAAAAAAGAGAGAGAGAAAAGAGAAAAAAAUGAUAGCCCAUGGUCCCUCUAAUAAGCAAUAUGCCAGCAAGAGUUGACAAAGAUUUUAAUUUUCAAAGUCUUUGAUCUAAGAGUAUGACAUUUCCCUCCUCGGAUCCCGUUUUGAUCAGGCAAUAAAUGCAAAGAAGUAUGCUUAAGAAUUUUUGCAAAAAUAAAACAGCCUCAGUGAGAUAUAUAUAAAAGAUAAUGAGUGAUCUGAGAGAACCUAUGAGGAUAAAAAGGUAUGCUAACUUUCUUUCAAAAAUAUACAAAAACUCCAAGUGACAGUAUUGAGAAGAAAGGAUCUUUACUCUUAACCAUAUACUUCCCUGACUAUGGUACACAGUGAAUUUUUAACACCCUGC
rnacentral:lncRNA from 1 species